AAAAAAAUCGAUUUUAGAUCAAUAGAAAACCCAAGCUCACGUUAACAGUUAACGCUUUCGAUAAAACAGAAUAGGACUCGCGUAAUUAUUCUUGUUUUAACGUUUCAAACGAUUGUCUAUAGCGCAUGCAAAAACGUAGACUUCAUUUAAUUUCCUUGGAGUUAACCUCUUAGGCACGGCUGAAUUUUGCGCUGGCUACAUACAUUCUUAGACUGUACAUUCCAUCUGUAUUGUAUUAUUAAUACCGUUGUAAAACGUUGCGAGGGCAAAAAGGUGUGAAGCAAGAGACAAAUGAAAACGAUCGUUUAGUUCAGACGGUGAGCGAAUGAGUCGGUAGAGUGCGCCACUGAAGCGGCGCGUCAUAAAUAAUAUGACAUCCGCGAGAGCCGCUUUAGUGGCGCGUCGGUACCUAAGAGGUUAAUUCAGGAAAAUGCGUACUCUGUUUUCGAAGAUUCAACUGCCUAGUCUCCUUGAAGAAGAAGUUAAUUUUUCACAUUUUAAAACAAACUAUAGGAUACUUGCCGAUAGUUGUGAGGACCGUGGUUGCAUAAUAAAACGCUCCGGCGAACUUCCACUGUUGACCGGCUUUAUGAGGUUCCGUCUUCAGCACCACUGUUUCCAUGAUCUUGAAGUCGUCCUCGCUUAUAUUGUAUUUGCGUAUAAUCAUCUUUUCAAUGGCUAUCAACACAACAAUUUAGAUCCCGUUGAUUAUAAGUUCUCAAAGAGCUGACCCGGUUUAUCAACGAGAAAUCGUACCGUCUAAUGCUUCCUUGCGUCGUUUCUCCGUCUCGGACUCGAGGACGUCGAAGAUUGCAGCGCCGACGAGGAGGUAGGUGAACGUGAAGACGAUCAACGAUAGGGUCCGGACGUUUUGUUUCUUCAUUCUCUAGUGAGCCACAUGCUCACUAGCAGGGCCCCGGCCCUAACUACUUGCAUCGCUCAGUGGAGUACGAUUUGGUGUGCCGGGCCCAUGUCGACCCCUUCCCCUUCUUGAUGAUGCUCGGGGGACCCUUUCUUUCCUUACCGAGCGCUACAGACCCGGCACGCAACUCCUCUUCUUCAGGGUGUUUUCUUCCUUGCAGGCACUACCUUGUAGCCGCUUUCGUUCAUCUGAAUGCAAUCCGAAAGUAAACAAAA